UACGUAGGGUGCGAGCGUUGUCCGGAAUUACUGGGCGUAAAGAGCUCGUAGGUGGUUUGUCGCGUUGUUCGUGAAAACUCACAGCUUAACUGUGGGCGUGCGGGCGAUACGGGCAGACUGGAGUACUGCAGGGGAGACUGGAACUCCUGGUGUAGCGGUGAAAUGCGUAGAUAUCGAGAGGAACACCUGCGGCGAAGGCGGGUUGCUGGGCUGACACUGACGCUGAUGCGCGAAAGCUAGGGGAGCGAACGGG
rnacentral:rRNA from 1 species